rnacentral:pre_miRNA from 1 species
UAAUGUGUGUGAAUGGUAUUCAGCAGCAAAGACAAGUCUGUUUUAAUGUGUGUGGAUGGUGUUCAGCACCAAGGACAGGUCUGUUCUAAU